AUGCAAGUCGAACGCGAAAGGGUAGCAAUACCCGAGUAGAGUGGCGAACGGGUGAGUAAUGUGUGGGUAAUUUGCCUUUUAGAGGGGGAUAACCCGGCGAAAGCUGAGCUAAUACCCCAUAAUAUCGCAAUGUCUUCGGACGUUAUGAUCAAAUGAUGGCCUCUAUUUAUAAGCUAUCGCUAAAAGAUGAGCCCACAUCCUAUCACGCUUGUUGGUGGGGUAAUGGCCCACCAAGGCGACGACGGGUAGCCGGCCUGAGAGGGUGUCCGGCCACACUGGAACUGAGACACGGUCCAGACUCCUACGGGAGGCAGCAGUGGGGAAUUUUUCGCAAUGGGCGAAAGCCUGACGAAGCAACGCCGCGUGGAGGAUGACGGCCCUCGUGGUCUUAAACUCCUGUCUAGCGGGACGAAAGUAUUGGAGGUGAAUAAUCUCCGAUAUUGACUGUACCGCUGGAGGAAGCUCCGGCCAACUCCGUGCCAGCAGCCGCGGUAAUACGGAGGGAGCAAGCGUUACUCGGAAUUAUUGGGCGUAAAGGGCGCGUAGGCGAUCUGACAAGUCUGGUGUGAAAGCCCACAUGUUAACUGUGGAAGUGCAUUAGAAACUGUUGGAUUUGAGUUCAGGAGAGGAAGGCAGAAUUCCCGGUGUAGCGGUGAAAUGCGUAGAGAUCGGGAGGAAUACCAGUGGCGAAGGCGGCCUUCUGGACUGACACUGACGCUGAGGCGCGAAAGCCAGGGGAGCAAACGGGAUUAGAUACCCCGGUAGUCCUGGCUGUAAACGAUGUGCACUUGGUGUGAGCCGGUUUUCGGUUCGUGCCGAA
rnacentral:rRNA from 1 species